CUGCUGCGACGACUUCUACAGUUUCUGGGAAGAGAAAGGGUACUGGUCUUGUCGCAAAGAUUGUUGCAAAAGCUCGUAAGAAAUCUUCGAAAGAUUCACCUGCGGCGAAGAAGGUGGCUAAAGCAGUUCAGAUUUUGAAGAAAGCGAGUCCUUUGAAGAAGAAGAAGAAGAAGAAACCAAUUCUGGUUUUGAAGAAAGCAGCAAGUCCAUCAAAGAAGAAAGGGAGUUCGCCGAAGAUCAGUCCUCCCAAGAAAACUACCAUAGCGAAGAAAGCCGCUCCUCCUGUCAAGAAGACCAGAGCAGCAACUCCAGUUAAGAAAGCUGCUGCAGCUCCUAAGAAGUCAAAGAAAGUGGUAGCUGAAAAACCUCCGGCAAAGCGAGCGGGUCCGGCGAGGAAGGUGAAGAAGUGAAGAAGAAGUUCUUGGUUGGCAAAGUUGUUAAUUUUUCAUUUCGAUUUAGGUUUUCUAAUAUCAUUUUUUUCUCUUCAAUUUCUUUCUUGGUUUGGCAAUGAUGACAGACAUUUGUAAUGUGGUUGUAAAUUUGUCAAUCGUUUAGUUAUUAUUAAAGAAGUUAAAAGAAGGAAAAGAAACCUGGAUUGAUUUUUGAAUCUUGGGGUGGAUUGUUUUUACGAUUAUUAUGAUUGUGUGGUAGGAUUUGGAAGAUCUAAGAAUAUUAAAUUUAUCUUAUUAUCUUAAUUUAAUCAAUUAUUUUUAUUUUCUCAAUGUUUAUUAAUUUUUUAUAUAUUUAUUGUUAACUGGUUUUCUGUCAAUGAAUAUUUUGAGAAAUAAAUAAGCUAUAAUUUUGCUACAUUAAAGUCUAAAGAUGUAAUUGAAUGUUGAUUUUAAUUCAGGCCCUUCAUUUUAAUUAAAAUUGCGAUAAAAAUGUAUCAAUCUUAAAUUAAUAUAAUACUUAAAAAUAUAUUAAAUAUACUUUAUUGAAAAUUUGCCACAUUAUUUUUUCUUAAUUGAAAAAAGAAAAACUAACGGCAGCCGGCAGGCCUCCAGGUUUUUUUUAAUUCAAAAAAAAUACGGUGAAAUGAGAAAUGUUCGAUUUAAAAUUUAAUAGUGAAAAAAAAAUAUUUAAAAUCAUUAGGUUUCAGGUGCGGCUCUUUAGAUGGGUCGUAAUUUUUAUCCGACGGUGAUAGUAAUUGCAUGCUUGUUGUCACUAUGAACUUAAUUGGCUGAAACCUAGUUUAUCCAGACGACGGACGAUCCGGAGCACCGCACCAAACGUAGGCCGUAUUUAAAAUAGAUUUUUUGUCGAUUUUUUUAUGAAGAUAAUUAGAUAACUUAAUAAUAAAACUAUAAAAGUUUACAUAAAAAAUAAAAUUGUAUAAGUAAAAUAAGAGUUUUGUUACUAACAAUAGAAACAUAAAAGUCAGGCUUAUCAAAUUAGGUCAGUCAGACAUGUUCGCCCUAAACAUGAUGAUAGAGAGAAUAUAAAAAUAGUUAACUAUUAAUUAACACUAAUGUUACAUGCUCAUUAUAUAUUUUUUGGAAAGUUAGUUGUUAUUAGAAAAUAUAUUCAAAUGUUAAAACUAUAUUGCAGGUAAUAAUAAUUAAAGAUAACGUAGAUAUGCAACCAAAUCAGUGUGUCUUUUGUUAGUGCUUGGAUUGUCGCCAUAGUCGACAGGAAGGUGCUAGUGUUGUCGUUGUAACAAACAAAAUUAUGUGGUAGAAAGAAAACACAAACAUCUUUUUGACGUAGUAAGAUGUCUAUUGUUACAAUCUCAAUUACCCCUUAAAUUCUGGGGGAGACUUUUUUUUUGAAUAAAAAUCGUGAUAAAUAUAUACCCAAAAAAAUGAUACACCACGUGGCAGUGAGCCCCGCUGAACUUGACCUCAUAUAGAGACACGUUCGAAGGCUAUAAUUAAUACAAAUCGUACUAAAAGCAAGACAACUCACACGCUCCCUAAAAAACUCAUAUGUUUAGUCUCAUGUUUCCACACAUCUCUCCCUCUCAUCUCGGUUUCAGAAACCCUUCAAAAAGAUUAAGAUAUGCUUCCAUCCUUCAUGUGCUUGUAUCUACCCGAGGGCUCGACAUUCCCAUGUGACCAUAGUCCAUUGAAGACAUCCUCCUUCCCGGCUCUCCUCCCCGAAAGAAGGCAAGAGUCGAAAUCGUCAACAAUUAACUAAGUCGACUAGUCAGACGUGGGGCAAAUGUAGGGUAGCUACCGCCACCCGUCCACCCCAAAAGAGUUUUGUUCCUCGACCCCUCCUCAGGUAUCUUACCAUACCCAAUUUGGGAUCCGGACCCACUAUUAAGUAACAUCCGUUGGGGGUUAUUUUGGAUACCCCCUCUAUCCCAUACAACAAAUAACAUGUCCUCCAUAGUUGAGUUUUUAGAUUUAAAUCUAGAUCUAUCAUAGACAAUACGUACAUCCACAACUAUACGUCGUGUCAGCUCUGGUGCCGGUUUAAAGAUCCGCUCUCAUGUUUCCUCCGAUUACGCUCACCCCAAAUUGCCCAUGUGGUUGAUCCAAGUAUAGUCCAACACAUGCCCCAUGCAGGUGAUCGUCGUGUUCUCGUGUCUGCCCAGUCCAUAUAUGAUUCGAUCCCUACAUCUGUCGGUGUCAAAAAAUCCCCUACAUGCCUAUGAAUCUGCUUCCAUACAUCUCUGAAAUAACUGCAUCCAAAGUAUAUAUGGUUGAAACUCUCCGGCUCUGUCGUGCACAACCAGCACUGUUUAGGUUGAGGGUACCCUCACCCAAUCAGUUUGUCCUGCAUCGUGAUCCUUCGAAGGUUGACCCUCCACAUCGUUAUAGCAUACUUUUUGAUGCUCGAUGCUCAUAUCCCUAUUACUCUGUCUUCCUUUGGUCUCCUCUCUCUGAUCGUGUCCCACACAUUUCGAAAUGUGAAGCCUGUGCCACUCCCUAUCUAUAUAUAUGCAUAUGUAAUCCUCCCCACAAGUCAUGCUCUUGCUUAUCUUCUGUCUUUUGUCCACAAUCCCAUAAGAAUCUGUAUGUUAGGCUCUGCAACGAUCCCAGCACCUCACUCGGUAACCUAAGGUCAAACACCAAAACAUAAGAUUUUCGGCUAUGCUCCAAUGAAAUAAUUGCAGUCUCCCUGCAUGUGACAGAAGGCAGGCCUUCCAUCUUGCCACCAUGGAAGUGGCCACCUCUACCAAUCUACAACAAUCCCUCGGCCUGAGGAUUGUUGGGCUCAAUGGGAGACCAAGGUAUCUUGUGGGGAAUUUUCCUAUCGGCAUUCCCAGUAUCCCUGCCAGUUGCGAAAUCUGGGGGGUCCCAUGUGAAAAGAACACUUCGCUCUUCACCCUGUUCACUUUUAGUCCUGUACAUGUAGCAAACACAUCAAAUACAUUCAUCACAGAUAAAAACGACUUCCUUUACGUCUUACAGAAAACCAUUAGGUCGUCAGCAAAAAUGAGGCGUGACACAGAUAAUGCUUCUUAAAUCACGUAUCUCUGACUCUCCUUUCUAUCUAUACUCUCCUUGAUGGCUUCCGAGAAAUUCUCCAUGAGUGGAUCUCCUUGUCUCAGCCCUCUACCACUACGGAAGACUCUCGUGGGAGCUCCAUCAACUAAAACUGAAAAAGAUGUCGACUUUACCAUUCUUAUUACUAGUUUAACCCACUCCUCACUGAAUUCAAAGCUUUAGUGUACCCCUCAGUGCCCUCCAAGCCACUGUAUCAUAGGCCUUUGAAAUGUCAACCUUGAUGCAUGCUCGGGCUGCCGAGGCGGCCUGUCCAAACCCAAUUAUCAACUUAGUCGCUAAAGCAUAAUUAUCCCCUAUCAGACGUCCUUUCAAAAAGGCAGUCUGGUUUGGGGCAAUUAUUCUCUGUACUAUCGACAAUAAUCUUGUUGUGAUGAUUUUCGAUAAAACCUUGUAGGUGGUGUUGACACACGAUAUCGGUCUGAAAUCCUCUAGAUCUGAUGCAUUUGCCUUCUUUGGUAUCAACGUCACAAAUGUGUGGUUGACCUCCAAUAGAAGGUUUCCCCCGCAAAGAUGGAUUGAAUGGCACGCACAUGCAAGAUCUGGGGCUAUGACUUCCCAUGAUUCCUAAAAGAACUUAGCGUUGAAACCAUCUGGCCCCGGACUUUUGUUCGGGUUCAAGUGGAAUACCGUAUCUUUUAUCUCUUGGUACUCUAACACAUAAGAUCCAGAUUCUCUCCCGACGUGACCUGUCUCUUGAAAACUCUCCUCGGCCUAAUCAUAGCGUCCCCUCUGUCCCUGAAUAGCUCGGAGAAAUAUGCCACACAUUUCUCCUCCAUAUCUAUCCUUGAAACCAUCAUUUUUCCAUCCCUUCCUAUGAGUUUAUAAAGCGAAUUAUGCGAUUGUCUUUCCCUAGUCAUAGCCGCAAAGAAUUUCGUAUUUUUAUCCCCCAGCUUUAACCAUUGCACUCUACUCCGUUGUCUCAUAUUUUCCUCCUCCGGUUUAAACAGGCCUCUUAGUCUGUCCUGACAUUCACGUAUUCGUACCUAGAUCCCCUCCUUUCGGGGAUCUAAACGAAUUGAAGAUCUACUUCUUCCUUGGCUAGUUGGGAUUGAGUUUUAUCUAGGUCCUUGUUCCCAUCAAGCUUUCAUGCCCAAGGUUUUAGCCCUCUCUUCACUGUCUUAUGUCUCUAGGUGAAUCUGUACAUGGCGUUUCCAUGUACUCUCUUCUUCUCCCAACCCCGUGCUACAACAUCAACAUAUCCUGAUGCCCUGAUCCAUGAAUUUGUGAACCUAAAAGGUUUAACCCUCUGAUCCUGGGGGAGACUUCAUACUUACUAUAACAUACCUCAUUAAUAAAACUCCCUCACCUAUAAUAGAUAACCAAACACCUUACUACAAGUUAUUUGGAAAAGAUGCGAACUAAGACUUCCUUGAAGUUUUUGAAUGUCUUUGCUAUGCAAAUGACAACUCAUCUCUUCUCUUCAAUUUCUCGUCGUCCGGCGAAUAUCUCCUACCGGCUCCGAUGCAGUACUUCCUCACGGCUAAAGAAGGAAGUGCAAUCCUACAUUUUAACAUGGUGUAUGCUGGUAACAAAUCCGGCCAUGCUUCCACAAAAAGAAAUACCGAUGCUUCUCCAGAAGAUAGAGGCGUCUCUUUAGACUCAAGUGCCGCGACGGUGACGUCCCCGUCGAUCAUGCGAUCGCUUCGUCGUAAGUCUCCAUUAUCUGUUAAACAUAGGCAUAAAUCUCAUCAUAAAUCACAUCGUUUUAGCAAGAACAUAAAAUCCGGCCAAGUCUCUGAAAUCAAUGAUCGGGAAUUAGUUUAUAAUCUGAAUUCCGGCGAUCAUAUCCAGGGGCAUUCAUGGUCUCGGAUAAACUUGUUGGUGAGUCCAAUUAUGCCACUUGGGCCAAUGUGAUGAGGUUGUCAUUACUUUCUAGGCAAAAAAUUUCAUUUGUUAAUGACAAAGUGAAGAAACCAGAGGAUGUUAAUGGCAAAGAAUUUGAAGCAUGGGAGACCGUCAAUGGUCUAGUACUAUCUUGGAUAGUGAAUUCUGUUUCUCCUCAGAUAGCUUCCACAUUGAUGUACACUAAUUGGCAAGUACAGUAUAGAAAGAUCUCAAAGAAAGGUAUAACCAAGAAAAUACUCUUAAAGUGAAUCAAAUCAGGUAUGGAUUAUCUUUUUAGUGUUUUAAAUUUUAAAAAUAUGAAUUAUAUAAAUAAUGUGAUAGAUAUUAAUAAAGAGUGAAAUAUAGAUACUGGAGUUUCCCAACACAUGACUGAGAAUCUUCAGUAUUUUGAUAAUCCACUCACUGAAAAGGUGAUCAUUUUGUCACCAUUCCAAGUGGUGAGAUAUGUAGAACAAAAUCCAUAGGAAAAAUAAUACUUUCCAAUAAUAUAAUAUUAGAAGAUGCUCUAUACAUACCACAGUUCAAAGUGAAUAUAAUUUCAGUCAAUAAACUAACCUUGAACAAUAAUCUAAAAAUAUUAUUUGACAAUGAAAAUUGUUAUUUUCAGGGAAACAAAUCAGGGAAAGUGAUUGGAAAGGGUAUAUGUCAAGAUGGACUUUAUCUUUACAACCUUGUUUCUCCUGAAUUUGCAUAUGCUUCCCUAAAUUCCAGAAUCUGGCAUAACAGACUUGGAUCUAUUUAAUCAAAAAUAAAUCUUUUGCUUAUGAAUGCAUAAAGAAAUUCAUCAUAAAAGUUAGAAACUUUUUUUGCAAAAAUAUUAAAGUAAUAAGGAGUGACAAUGGUGGAGAAUUUAAAUCCAAUAAAUUCAAAAAUAUGCUUGAAGAUCUUAGAAUUAUACACCAACUCACAUGCCCUUACAACCUUCAACAAAAUGCAAGGGUUGAAAGAAAACAUAGAUGUCUAUUAAACAUAACUAGAUCUCUACACAUACAAGCUAACAUACCUCUAAAAUAUUGGGAAAAAUGUAUCUUGGCUGCAACCUACAUAAUAGAUUAAAUCCCAUCUAAAAUCCUAGAUAAUAAGACCUCAUUUGAAAUUCUACACAAAGAAAAACCAAAAUAUAAAUUCUUAAAAACAUUUGGGUGUAUGUGUUAUGCAACAAUACACAACAAAGAACAUAAGUUCUCUCCAAAGACUUUUAGGAGAAUUUUUAUGGGAUAUCCUCCCAGUAUAAAAGAAUAUCUAAUACUCUGUUUAGAAAAUCAGAAAUUCUACAUAAGUAGAGAUGUUUUUAAAGAAGAUGUUUUCCCAUUCCAACAAACAACACCUAAAAACCAACAAAACAAAAUAAAUAAUAUUUUUCCAUUGUAAGAAAUAUUCAAUACACAUCAACCCAAGGCAAUAUCAAGUCUGGAAAUAACAGAAAAAAAAUAAAAAUAAAAAUCCAGAUCAGUCUGAAAUUAUUUUGGAAAACAGGCUAGGUAUAAUUGGAAAUAACCAGUUUGGCCAGACCCAAAAUACAAAUGAAAAACAGAGUUUUUCAGAUAAAACCAAUGAAAAUUCAGACUCUGGAAACAUUUUUGAAAACAGACCAGGUAUAACUGGAAAUGCACUGGAAAAAUAGUCUAUAUCAGAUAAAAUUGAUAAAAAUCAAACCGAUAUAGACAAUAUAAACAUACCACAAAAUACACCAAGCUGGAUACCAGAACAGCGAACAACUUUAGCAAACUCAAAAAUACAGAGUAACUUUAAAGAAGCUUCAAUUCAAGGUUCUAACAGUCAAGAUAAUAUGGAAAAACAUGAAAAUAAUCAUGCUAAUAAAAAUCAAGAUCAAAUCACUAAAAAUGAUAAAUAUAAAACUAUAACAACUAAAAAUCCAAAACAAACAAGGUUAGGAAGAUUAAUAACCAAGCUUGGACCAUAACUGAACUUCCCAAAGGAAGGAAGGUAGUAGGAUCCAAGUGUAUAUACAAAAUCAAAUACAAACCAAAUGGAGAGAUUGAGAGAUAUAAAGCAAGGUUAGUAGCCAAAUGCUUCUUUCAAAAAAAAGGUUUGGAUUUUUAUGAAACUUUUGCACCUGUUGCAAAAAUAACAACAAUAAGGAUAUUAAUUGUCUUUGCAACACAAAAAAGAUGGAACAUAUACCAAAUUGAUGUCAAUAAUGCUUUCUUUCAUGGUGAUCUUCAUGAGAAAGUAUACCUAAAUCCACCCCAACGCCUACUCAUAGAAGAAGACAAGAGAGUAUGCAAACUUAACAAAUCUCUAUAUGGCCUUAAACAAGCCUCUAGAAAUUGGUUUGAAAAAUUAAGAAACACCCUACUAAAUUUUGGCUUUAUACAAACCAAAUCAGAUUACUCUCUAUUUAUAAGAGAGAGAAAUAAAAACAUAAUAUACCUAAUUGUCUGUGUGGGUGAUAUUAUCAUUACAGGUAGCAAUGAGAUAGAAAGACCUUGGGAAACUAAACUAUUUUUUAAGAAUAGAAGUAUCAUAUUCUAGUAAAGGAAUCCUAUUAUCUCAAAGGAAAUAUGCACUAAAAAUACUUAAAGAAAGUGGCAUAUCAGGAGCAAAAGAAUUCAAAAUACCAAUGGAAAGAAAUAUAGACCUUAAGAGUACGUGAAUCCAAACACAGAUUGGAAACACAACUUUCUAUAGAAAAUUAGUUGGCAAACUAAUAUAUCUCAAUAUUACCCUGAGUUAUGCAGUUCACUGGCUCAGCCAGUUCAUGAGUGAACCAAAUGAGGUUCAUCUGAAAGCAUUAUUUAAAAUACUAAGAUAUCUAAAGAAUGCACCAGGACAAGGCAUUUUAUACAAAAAUAGUGAAGAUCUAAGCAUUCAUACCUUUUGUGACUCUAAUUGGGCAGGAUGCCAAAUCAGCAGGAAGUCGGUAACUGGCUUCUGCAUUUUAAUUAGAAAUUCAGUCAUAUCCUGGAAAUCCAAGAAGCAAGCAAUAAUAUCAAGAUCCUCAUGUGAGGUUGAAUACAGAGCAAUAGCUCAAACAACCUGUGAGGUAAUAUGGAUUCAUCAGUUAAUUAAAGAAAUGAAAAUCAAAACUAGCUAAUAAUCAAACAACAAUAUACUAUGAUAAUAAAUCAUCAAUCAAUCUAGCUAAUAACCCUAUGUUCUAUGAAAGAACAAAACACAUAGAGAUAGAUUGUCAUUUUAUUAGAGAACUAAUUACCCAAUGAGUGUUUUGUCUUAAGCAAAUUGGAACAAGAUACCAAUUGGCAGAUAUGUUCACUAAACCUAUGGAAGAAAAUGAGAUUACUUCAACCUAUGUCAAGCUUGGAAUCAUAAAUAUUUAUUCCAGAGCUUAAGGAGGGACUAAAGAAGUAAUUAACACUAAUUAAGACUAACUGGACUAAUGUAUAAUUAGAGAAAAUACAGGUAUGCAGGUUUGUCAAGGAAAUAGAAUACAAGGACAAAACUGCAAAUAUUUCAAUAAAUAUCCAGAUGAGCCAAAGAAAUAAAAAAAAGCAAUUGGGUUCGUAUUUGAAUUAGUCCAUUAAAGAUAGCUAAUUGUUAGUUAGUCGUUUGGCUUAAUAACUUUAGUAUUAAUACAAAUCAGUCUAAUUAACAUUAAAUUAAUUCAAUCUGAUUUCAAUUCUCCUAAUACAUAGUUACUACUAAUCAUCUAUAGUAGUAACCAACUGCUAGAAAUUAAGAAUACAAGGAAAACUAAUUUCUUUCCCUUCUCUCCAAUUUCUCGUUGUCCGGCAAACAUCUCUUGCCGGCUUCGGUGCAGCGCUUCCUCACGGCUAAAGAAAGAAGUGCAAUCCCACAUUCUAACAUAACCAACAAUGAAGAAGAGACACAACAUGUACCUAGAGAUUUAAACAGACAUAUCUGAGAAAGAAUCACCCAUUUCAAAAUUAAUAUCAACUCAAAUUUCUCUCACAACAGAAGAUAUUCAUGAGAAAGAAAAUCAAGGAAGAAAGACACAUAACAGACCCAAAUACCUAAAAGACUAUGAAUGCUAUAACAGACCCAAAUUAAUUACCCCAUAACAAAUUACAUUUCUUAUGAAAAAUUCUCUGACAUACACAGAUCAUUCUUGACCAACAUAUCAUCCUAAAAAGACCCAACAUCUUUCACACAAGCCAUCUGGCAAGAAGCAUUGCACAAAGAACUAUCAGCCGACCUUAAAGACACAAUACAUCUUUCACACAAGCCAUCUUUAACGCUCUUGUAUCAAAGAUGAAAACACAUAUAGAAGGGAUUGACUAAACAAAUACCUUUGCUCUUGUAUAAGGAUGACAAUAUAAUUUAAGACAUUGAUAGCUCUUCAUGGAUAUCUAAAUGAGAAAGUCUACGUACAUGAGAUAUCCAUAAGGCAUUAAAAUUAGAAAUAAGGUUAUCAACAACCUGAUGCAAACAAAACAACUCACAUAGGCUAAGACAGACCUUCAGAAUGUGGUUCAACAAACUAAAUGAAUCGAAUCUUUAACUCAAUAGGCGUUCAACAAUGCAAAUCAGAUUAUGCAUUGUUCAUUAGACACAUUGAACAACAAAAAACUAUAAUUUCAAUAUAUGUAGAUGAUCUACUUAUCACAUUGAUUUAUUAAUCUAACUAUAGAAGGAUUUGAUCACUUGUUCUAAUAUCAAAGAUCUAAGAAAAUUAAAUCUCCAGUCCUUGUGUUUGUAAGAUUUAAAAUUGUAAUAAGCUCAAGUCUGUAAACUGUAAUGUAUGAACAGAUAAAAACCAGUCGCUACUGCAAAUGUUUACAUAGAUAUAUUACAAUAGUUAGAAUUGAAUACCAUUGUAAUAGUAAACCAAUCAUUUCUUUUGAAGUUUUUUUGCCAUAGUGAGUAACAGCACUGCAAUUCCUCCCAUGGCAACCCAUCUCCAAUGAAUUCUUGGAUCAUCUUUUACAAUCUCAAUUUCCCUAUUGUGAUUCUUUCGAUUUGAUGAAUUAGAGUGAAAUGCAAGGGAAGAAAUGUGGGUUGAGAAUUUAGUGGCAGUUUGUACCAGCAAUACACUUUUUGAAAGUGAGGUGUUGGAUGUCCUAGCAUGCUGAUAUGCUCUCAUACCGGAUUGCAACUUUUUAACAGAUCCCCACAUGCUAUGACGAACACCAACCUUUACUAUGUCUUUGGGGAUUCCCAUGUCCUCGUAGUGUACAAGUGUUACCUCACAGGCUGACCACUGCCCAUUUUGUUUGGGAGAUUCCACUGUUGAUAGUCAUAUUCAACAGUACAAGUGUUAAUUAUCUUCCAAGUUAGGUAGUUAGAAGAAGAAGAGAUUGGUACGACAGACCUGCUUUGAUGCACCAGCUAGAAAAAUAUUAUUCCACGCGUCUUGGUUUUUCUCGCUUACGCAGUGAUGGAUGAGAUACUCCCUAGAAGUGAAAAACACAAAGGAUGUAUAAGGAAUAAAAUCAUCAGUAGAAGAAUUGGCAACUAGAAUGCGUACAUACCUUUGUUACACAGUAAUAUGACUUGCCAGAUUCCCAUAUCCUUCGACCUAUGAUAUAUUCACGAUCACUGCAGAAGAAUGGGAACUACAGAGAAAAUAAUCACAAUGUUAAUCAUGAAAUUGCUGUAGGUAUGAAUCAAAAAUGAAAUGAGGAAUUAAUUAACUUUUUUUAUCCAAUGAACUAUUGUCUCUCCAGUACGAGGAAAUUCCUCCAAGAUUUUGAAAUGAACAAGCAUGGGAUCCCAUUUUACUCUGAAUUCAUCAUCCCAGAAGAAAUCCCUAACUAGUUCUGGAGUUGCAUCUUCAAAUACUGUUCUGCUACUGAACAUUAUGGGUCCUCCUCCCUUAAAAAGAAUUAAAAAUUAAAAAUCAUGAAAAUCUUAUAAGUUGAAAAUCUCAAAUUGUAAAGAAAAAAAUUCAAAGUUGCAGAAAUAUCGUUACUGUUUAAUGAAGACUCAAGUUGCAGAAACGGCAGCAACGAAGUGCUGCAAAUGACUGCUCGACGAUUCACAUAAUAGAGUCAAGAAAAUGCACCUGAGGUUCGUGUUGCCAGGCUUGGUAGCUCAUGUUGGGGGUCGUCUUUUCCAUCAAAUUAUGCCAAACCCUACAAUUAACUGUUUCAUCUAAAAGAUCCAACAGAUGAUCCAGAUCUUUGGCUGUAACAAUCUCCUCGGCGAUCUCUGAUAACACUUCACCAUCAUUAUCUACGACAACCGCUGGAUCAGAUUCAGUAUUAACACAUCGAAGAUCAUCGGCUUUCCCCUUGUUACCGAAAUUGGUCAAAAAUCUUCGACAAACGGAGAGCGCCGACAGAACAGUGACAACGAACAACCAUAUCCUUCUGGCACCGAACCCUGGAGGGAUGAAGAAACGUAGUUUGUUUCUUAGCCCAAAGAACAGUAUUCCCGUCCAUCGCGGUCUCCACGACCAACCGAUGAUCAUUCCGAUUAUCACCGCCAUCCAAAUCGGAACUGCGCAGAGAAGCAUAUCGACUGCAGUCUCCAUCACAACAGAACUACGCAGGAUCUCCGUAAUGUCGGCAUGUAUUGCUGGCAUCACGAGUACCGUGAUUGCAAAUUUAGGAGUAAAGUGGCAAGAUCAUUUUUCAUAUAUGUGACAAUAAUUGAGAUGAAAAAAAAGAUGUAAAUUUUGAAUUGAAAUUUAAGAAACUUGUCAAAUGCAAAGGCAAGAGUCAGAUUUCAGACUCGACUACGAACAAAAAGAAAUGUAUUACACUUGUAUGACAAUUAUUCAUGCCUUCCACAUCACAACUUAAUUUGAGGCAUGAAUGAAUUGAAGUAAAAACUAAAAGAUGUGAUACAAACAAAGUUUCAGUUGUCUGUGUUCAGAAAAUGUUUCAAAUAACUACAUAAAACCUUAAUUCUCCUUCGGUGAUUCCGCAGUAACAGACUCUACUUCAGCGACAAUGGUAGCUAUACUAUCAAUUACUCCACUACUUUCCUCUCCAGACGAAGCUCCAUUUUCUUUGAUCUUUCCCGGAACGACCGGACGGCUGCUCUUCGCAGCGGUUAUUAGUUCGUUGAACUUUUCAGAUUUUCUCAGAAAUAUCUCGAUCCUAGGCUUGUGAACGAUACGCCCCUUAACUUCGUCUUUCAGAUCAACAGUUGAAGUCUGGAUCUCUGAUCCAAGAAAACAGUAUAGUCGUUAUUUAAUAACAGAAGAAGAAAAUGUGAGAAAAUUCAAAUGAAGACGGUCUUCAUUAUUUCUUACUAUUUUCAGUGGAGAAUCCAUCGUUCUUCAGAAUCUCAGAUAUCACAACAGCAGUACUGAUUGCUGCAUAGAUCAUAACGAUUUUUUUUUAUAAACAAAAUAAAAAUAGAAUUUGGUACGUAAUUGCAUACCUGUGCCCAAAGCGGAGAGCAAGAUCUCAUUAUGACGACGCAUAAGCCUCUGCAGAAUCAGAGAAUGAUAAUAUCAAUCAAACAAAAAAUUAAAAAUUACCAAAAAGAUUACAAUAAAGAAAAGAUCAGAUCCAGAACGAUCGCACGGAAAAACCCCUAUGAAAAUUAAGAUUCAGAUACUACAUUACAUCAAGAUCAAGAUAACAAACUAAAUUCAACCGUAAUCUGAUUCGAUCAAUCAGCAUUUUAUACCUUGGCGAGAUUGACAUAAAAAUACAAAGGUUCCUUCCUAUUCGAAACCUGGAUCUGAUUCUCCUUACGCUGCAGAUCGGUAGCCCCAACUACCGGAACCAGUUUUUGCCUAACGGUGGACUCGUUUGAAAGCACGAUUGCUGUAGACGACUCCAUUUCUCUCUAUUAGAAUUUUCUUUAACCCGAUGCUUCUAUCUCUCUCAAUGGCUCUGUGAAUGAAUGUGGAUGUUAAGAGGAAUUGUGGGUGUUAUAUAUAGGUUUCAGAGAAGGUGGGAAGCGACGGUUCGGGAUCAGACGUGGCAGAGAGAGUUCGGUGAGUCGUUAGGAUUUCAGGUUUCAAAAGAAACUAACUAAAGAAUAUUUGACGGGACUAGAAUUAAUCUCAACCUUUCAUCUCUGUAUCGCUCGAAUCUUAUGCAUCUUAUUAAAAUACGGGUUGUAUUAAAAUAACAGGAAAUCAAAUUAUUUUAAUAGGACUCACUUUGGCUGACGUGUUAUCCGAAUGGAUUUACAGUCAGCAUAAUACGAUGAUAUGGCACUGAAAUUUACUGGAGUCCUGGACCGUCCAGCCAGCAAAUCUUAUAAACUUAUAGUAAAAUAAUGGAAAAUGUUCAGGACUUCCAAGUGUUUAGAUUAGCCUUGUUAAUAUAAAUAUGAUUAAAGACACCAGGGUCCAGUCCAGGUCAUCAUUAGUGUGAGGUGACUCAUCACAUAGUAAGGAAUCGGUAGCAACAUGAGUCAUACGUAUAAGGAGUAAUAAUAUCAAGGGUAUUAUUAUAAAUGUACCAGUAAUGGUAGUUUGAUAAUUUAUCUACAUAUCUAAAUAUGAAACGGCUGUGUUAAUUCUCUUAGCAUUAAACAUUAUUAAAAUUCAGGUAUGAUUGAAUGGAAUCAAUUGUGUUCACAAUAAUGGUAAAUUGGUAAUAUGACACACAUAUAUAUUGAUCGCAAUAAAUUUACAGGUAAAAAUGCAUGGCCACAAUCCACACACACACAAAUGAUAAAGACAAUAGAGAGAUUAUCAACACGCUGCAUUCUUCAUUCUUCACUUUUGUAUCUAAUUAGCUGUUCUUAGUUAUUGUGGCUUCCAAUGCUGUGGCGAGUCGAGGCAGUUUUUAUUUCAUGUGUUGUGCUGGUACUUGGCCUAGUGGAGGCAUUACUGCAACUCUUCCUUCGAGUAAAAUUUGGAGAUUUAGCUCGGGUUGGAGGUACCUGUUAGAUUAUGCAACACCGAAUUAAAAUAUAGAAGGGUUUUUUUUUCACUACAGUAAAUAUUUGAUACAUUGGUCUCGAUGGGAUUCAACCACAACUUCCUGUAUCAAACAUAGACACUUUUACUACUAAGACACCCCAGAGAGUUUAACUGGAGUCCUACCUUCGUUAAACUUGAAGAAGAAGAAAAUCAUAAAACUAUAUCUAUGUAUACAAAUUAAUUACGUACCUUUUUGAGUUCUACCUUUGGGGGUGGCCCCUCAUUGUAAAAACUGGGUAUUGGGUUUGCUUUAAACUUCAUACUUUUCCUUAACUCCUUAAGAGCUGCAUCUUGCUCUUCCUAUAAACAUGGUCGUUAAUAUACAAGUAGAAAGAAUUAAAGCAAUCCAUGGAUUACAAGACAGUGACAAGUAACACAAUGAAAUGAAGCAAUUUUAUUGAGUAUGAAAAAGAAAAGCAUAGAGAAAAUAAAUUCACCUUUAUUCUAGCUUCAAUUCGAGCAUGUUCUGCCUCUAAAGCUUGAUUUUUCUCUUCUAAUUUCGAAUAAAACUGAAAAUUUCACACAUAAAAUAUACAGUGCUUUAGAUCUAAUUGGUGUGUAUUAGUAAAAAUAAGAUUUUUUCAAAAAAUAGAAGAAUUGUUAGUACCUCCUUCCUCUUCUCGGCACGUUUUUUACACCUAAACGUAGGAGCUGAGGGCACAGUGAUCUUAACUUUCCCCGUUCUAAAAGAUGAAGUGUGUCUGCGAGAAGUUAAGAAAUCCCAAGAUAAUUUUCAUGCAUCAAGUGAUACAAUUAAACAGAAUCAUUUUAAUUAUUAAUGAGGAUACGAUAAAGCAACGGAAUGUGUAUCUUCUUCAUCAUGAUGUUUAUGAUCAUUGACUUCACGAAAUUCCUUUAAUAGGUGAGAACUUGCCUGCAAGCUUGCAAGAAAAAUCAGUGCCAUUUUCAUGAAGUGUGACAAAAGUCAGGAUAAUUUUCAAAAGAUUCCACCUGAAUUUUCUUCCACCUAUUUGUUGGCCUUACAUUGUCUGCAUUUGUUGGAAUGCUUGUAGAAUGCUUGUCACCGGAAAGUAAAAUUGUCUGUUGAACCAUGCUACUGUUGCCUUCAUUUCCAGAGUGGAAAGAUCUUGAUGUUGACUUAACAUGGGUCGCUGAUUUUGGAUGAUUAUUUUGUCGAGAAGAUCCAUUGUUUUGUUUUUUGACCGAAGGAUGUGUGUCCAUAUUUUCAUUAUCAAAGACUUCUCCUCGUUCAUUAUUGUCAGAUAGAUCUAGAUGAGCAAUAUUUGGUUUUCUAUUGUUGCUUUCUGAUUUUUCUUCAUUGCCUUCCUUGAUUUGAUUAUUCAAAGAACCGCUAACAUUAUCAUCUGGAUGAGAAGAAUCUGGAAUUCCAUUUGUGCUUUCUGAUUUUUUUUCAUCACCUUUGAUUGGUUUGUUCAAAGAACCACCCACAUUAUCAUCUGGAUGAGAAGAAUCUGGAAUUCCAUUUGUGCUUUCUGAUUUUUUUUCAUCGCCUUUGAUUGGUUUGUUCAAAGAACCACCCACAUUAUCAUCUGGAUGAGAAGAAUCUGGAAUUCCAUUUGUGCUUUCUGAUUUAUUUUCAUCGCCUUUGAUUGGUUUGUUCAAAGAACCACCUACAUUAUCAUCUGGAUGAGAAGAAUCUGGAAUUCCAUUUGUUCUUUCUGAUUUAUUUUCAUCGCCUUUGAUUGGUUUGUUCAAAGAACCACCCACAUUAUCAUCUGGAUGAGAAGAAUCUGGAAUUCCAUUUGUGCUUUCUGAUUUAUUUUCAUCGCCUUUGAUUGGUUUGUUCAAAGAACCACCCACAUUAUCAUCAGAAUUGGCAGAGUCGAUCAGACCACUUGUGAUAUCAAAUUGGACGGAAGGGGAUAUAUUCAUAUCUUCUGCAUUAUUAAUACAAAAAACAUCUUGGUCUUUAUCUUUAUUUUCACCAUUGAAGAUUUCUCCUGAUUCAACACUAUCAAAUGGGUCUGAAUGAACAAAAUCAGUCAUUCCAUUUGUGCCUUCUGAUAUUUUGUUAUUAUCAUUCAUGAUUGGGUUAUUCGGAAAAAAACUAACAUUAUCAUCUGAAUGAGCAGAAUCUGAUAUUCCAUUUGUGCUUUCUGAUUUUUUUUUAUCGCUAUCAGAAACACCCGCAUUAUCAUCUGGAUUGGCAGAGUCGAGCAGUCCACUUGUGAUAUCAAAUUGGAUGGAAGGGGACAUAUUCAUAUCUUCUUCUUUAACACAAAAUUCAUCUUGGUCUUUAUCUUUAUUUUUACCAUCGAAGAUUUCUCCAAAUUCAACACUAACAGAAAGGUCUGAAUGAACAAAAUCGGCCAUUCCAUCGGUGCUUUCUGAUAUUUUGUUAUUACCAUCCUUGAUUGAGUUAUUAAAAAAAAAACUAACAUUAUCACCUGGAUGAGAAGAAUAUGGUGUCCCAUUUGUGCUUUCUGAUCUUUUUUCAUCCUCAUCUUUGAUAGGAUUAUUCAAAGUAACACCCUCAUUUCCAUUUGAAUUGGAAGAAUUUGGCAUUCUGAUUGAGUUAUUUGUAGCACCGUCCUUGAUUACUUUAUCCAAAGAAUCAUUCAGAUCAACACAACCAGACUCCUUUUCUGUAGGCACAUCUAAAACCCCCUUGUCCAUGGUCUGGAUGAAAGAAGAAAUAUAAAUUGAUGCAAUGUGUUGGAAGGUGGAAAUUAAAGUCAUAAAACCUAAAGAAAUCAAAAUAAAUAGGAACCCAAAGAGGAUAGCACAAAUAGCUUUAUAAAACUAAUAUGUCUAUGAGGUAAUUGGUUUUGUUCUCAAUAGGUACCUACUCUCUUCAAUUU
rnacentral:lncRNA from 1 species